CACGUAGGGGCCAAGCGUUGUCCGGAUUUAUUGGGCGUAAAGCGCGUGUAGGCGGCCAGGUAGGUCGGUUGUGAAAACUGGAGGCUCAACCUCCAGACGUCGACCGAAACCAUCUGGCUAGAGUCCGGAAGAGGAGAGUGGAAUUCCUGGUGUAGCGGUGGAAUGCGCAGAUAUCAGGAAGAACACCCGUGGCUAAGGCGGCUCGCUGGGACGGUACUGACGCUGAGGCGCGAAAGCCAGGGGAGCGAACGGG
rnacentral:rRNA from 1 species